AGCACUUGAAGUGGAUGCUGCCACUGGAGAAGGGAUUUCUACAGGCUCUUCAGGCACUUCAGGCUCUUCAGGCUCUUCAGGCACUUCAGGUUCUUCAGGCUCUUCAGGGUCUUCAGGCUCUGUAAGCUCAUCAUCUGGUGGUGGUAUUAUUGAACGUAUAAGGUCAGGACUCAGCACAUUCGAGUCAUUUAUAAGAGCACUUCCCUUGCCUCCUGAAUUUCAAGCCUUAAUAGAAAGAAUAAUCUCAUCUAUUCGAAGCACUUUAAAUUCCUUUGGUUAACGAAGUCCAGCGUCCUGCAUACGGCUCUUUAAAUAUGACUCCAGCCCAGUAAUUAAUUGAAUGACAUUUUGUGUUCGACGACCACUAGAUCUUUCUGCAUGCCGCAUAAGAAUCUUCAAUUCUACUUCAAGUCUUACCUUAUACUACAUACACACUGAAAGAAUUCAAAUCAGUUAACUGUAAUUGGAAACAUAACUUCAAUUUUGAAUAAAUGGGAAAAGUAUUCUUGUCUUACUGUAUUUCGAAUACGUAAAAAUGUACUGAAUGUCUAUAUUUCCAGUUAAUAAAUUAUAAAUGUCAUACAAUGGUACUACUUACAGAUAAUAACACAUUUUAAUUAUUGUAAUUUUCAUAAACAAGGAUAUCAAUUAUAUAUAUUGUGGUUCAAAAUGUAAGCCUGUAUGCCAUAUAUUAAUAAGCAUUUUAUGCCAGAAAUAUUCAGAACGAAUAAAUAAUUUGAUGAAAGUAA